UGCCCCUCACUUGCCAAUACGUCUAGAUCAGCCAGGGCAUCGGCAUGUGUAGCGUAUUAUGUUGGGCUCUCUCGAGAUAAGGAUACGAUGUCCCUUUAUCGGUUGGUUUCCUGUGUGCACGGCCCGUUCGGUUUUUUUGUUACUUUCGCAUCGUUCGGUGCAUUCUGGGGGCUGUGUUGGCUUUUGGUGGCUUGCUUGGCCUUUUGGCUUUGCUUGUUGCUACUUGUCGGGCUGCUUUCGGGAAUGUCGACCGUGGAGGUGCAUGAGUGGUGUUGCAUACCUAGUUGAUGGAAAAGUGUGGGUUUUACGAUUUUCAUUUUCGUCUUGCGUCGUUCUUUCGGCGUGGGAUGAACAAUGAAGCGAUCUUUAUGAUCCAUCGUGCUGUUGCGUUUGCAACAAUGAUGUGGCCUAUGAAGCAUCGUUUGGUCUCUUGUAUACGGAAGCUCAUUUGGGCUUGGUUCUUUAUAAGAUCUUCGUUACGCCCUUGUUAAGCGUUCUCGCUUCUCCUAAACGAUUG
rnacentral:misc_RNA from 1 species